GUGAAAGCGGAGGCUCAGCCAAUGGCAUCUAUCCUUAGAGGUCCAGGGGACAGCCAACUGGUGAUAAGUUUGGUGACAGAAACAACAGGAAAAAGAAAGAUCAAGAUGGCCUGGAAGGUGAAGCUCAUUCAUGACAGGCCCGUGAGGGCAGGUGUUCAAUGAUGUCAUUUUGUGAUGGAAGGACCUGUUACAAGUUACCCUCACUGCAUUUCUGUGGCACGAGGCUCUACUUCAUCGAAUCCCCACCCAAAUGACAGCCACUACAUUCAUGCUGCCGAGGAAACCAGCUCUGCUAGGACCACAGCCUAACUACACCUGUGUGGACUUGGAGGCAUUGGGGCCCAGCUUGAGCUAAGGGAAGGAGUGGGAGCAGCUCAGGGACCCCGCCUAGCCUGCAUCCUGGAGGACUGUUUACUUUUGGGGCUGUGGUUAGAAAGGACCUGGGAUUGUUUGUUCUUUCAUUGUUUGGCUCUGGCUGACAGUGCUUCUUAAUCCAGUCCUGCUUCACCAGGUGCCCCAACUUCAGGACUCCGGCAGUGUCAAAGGGAAGUUGGAGGGGAAAUACUCCAAGAAACUGGAAAACCCAAGGUUGUCUCCUGGAACUUCAGAACCGAGAUGCUCUUGGCACAACACUUUUAAAGGAGACUGGGGUCGUGUUAAAGGACCAUGUGAACAAACUUCAAGAGGCCAAAGAUGGAAAAGGGCUCAAAUCUGGAACCUGGACAAAGGAUUCCCAUUUCUUGCCGGGGCUGCUUCCCUGAGGCCUCUGGCCAUUGUCCUGGACUUCCUUUGAUGGUACAGAUUGUCCAGACCCUUACUGCCCGAUUGUGGGAUGCUGAGCUCCAGUACCCUCUCUGUGACUCCUGGGCAGGAACAAGGUCCACUGGCCAUGCAGUCUUUACAAUCAUUGCAUCCACCAGCCUCAUGUUCACUCGACACCAGCUGGUCCUGCUGUUCAGGGUCCUGGAUUUCCAUGGCUAUCAGAGAGCCCAGUUCCAUAACGGCCUUUUUGUCGGCCGGGGAGCCACCCCUGGCCCCCAGUGACGCUGGUGGCCUGACUCCAGAGCAGACUUCUGGAUGCUGUAGGCGGUGUGCCCUCCUGUGGGACACAGCCCUGGGUUUUACAUAUUGGCUGUUAUGUACUGUCCACACCAGCUCACCCACCUGUGUGAGCCCCUUCCCGGGUUUGCAUGGCAGUUCUGGCACCUUCACUACAUGCGGCCUCCACCCAUUCCGCGGGCCCAAGGAGCUGGCCUGGUGGAGCCACCCGUGUCCAAGCGUCCCCAAGUCGAUGACAUAUCCUUCCUCAAAGGGAACCCCAGCACCCUGCCUGCUCUCCCACUGAAAGGACUCCGAUUCCCACUUCGCGGCUGCAGACCCUGCGCAGCCGUGCUCGCGUCAACCCUGCACAUUUGCAGAGGUUCCCAAGGGGCAUGCCCACA